rnacentral:rRNA from 1 species
GUAUGGAAAAGCAAAUGUAGGCAUGAGUAACGAUAAUGCGGGAGAGUAACCCGCACACCGCAAGACCAAGGUUUCCUGAUCAACGCUAAUCGGAUCAGGGUUAGUCGGGUCCUAAGGGUAAGCCGAACGGUGAUCUCGAUGGAUAAUCGGUUAAUAUUCCGAUACUGACAUAUACCUCGAUGGAGAGACGAAGGAACGUAAGUGCCGCCACCUGACGGAAUAGGUGGUUAAAGGGCGUAGGUAUAGGGGCAGAUUAAGAGUUAGUCCUUGCUGAAACCUGACAGUACAGAGAGCCUACGGGCAAUUUGAUAGAGCACCCAAGUCGACUUCCGAGAAAAUCUUCUAAGUUAUAGUAUAUGUUACCCGUACCGUAAACCGACACAGGUGGUCGAGGAGAGUAUCCUAAGGUGCUCGAGUGAAUCACGGUUAAGGAACUAGGCAAAUUAACCCCGUAACUUCGGGAAAAGGGGUCCCAUCGCGAGGUGGGCGCAGCGAAGAGGUCCAGGCGACUGUUUAUCAAAAACACAGGGCUCUGCAAAUUCGAAAGAAGACGUAUAGGGCCUGACACCUGCCCGGUGCUGGAAGGUUAAGAGGGGAUGUCAUCGCAAGAGAAGCAUUGAAUCGAAGCCCCAGUAAACGGCGGCCGUAACUAUAACGGUCCUAAGGUAGCGAAAUUCCUUGUCGGGUAAGUUCCGACCUGCACGAAUGGUGUAACGAUCUGGACACUGUCUCAACCGUGAGCUCGGUGAAAUUGUAGUCCCGGUGAUGAUGCCGGGUACCCGCAACGGGACGAAAAGACCCCGUGAACCUUUACUAUAGCUUAACGCUGAAUUUGGGUACACAAUGUGUAGGAUAGGCCGGAGGCUUUGAAGCGGGCACGCCAGUGUUCGUGGAGCCGACGUUGAAAUACGGCCCUUUGUGUAUUUGAGUUCUAACCCUGCGAAGGGGACACCGUUUGGUGGGUAGUUUGACUGGGGUGGUCGCCUCCAAAAGCGUAACGGAGGCUUCCCAAGGUACCCUCAGCACGAAUGGUAACCGUGCGCGGAGUGCAAUAGCAUAAGGGUGCUUGACUGUGAGACAUACAAGUCGACCAGGUACGAAAGUAGGGUAUAGUGAUCCGGUGGUUCUGCGUGGACUGGCCAUCGCUCAAAGGAUAAAAGGUACUCCGGGGAUAACAGGCUGAUCGCCGCCAAGAGCUCAUAUCGACGCGGCGGUUUGGCACCUCGAUGUCGGCUCGUCACAUCCUGGGGCUGGAGAAGGUCCCA